rfam:Gossypium arboreum cultivar AKA8401 contig_14916_1, whole genome shotgun sequence.
CUCAUAGAGAGUUCGAACCUGGCUCAGGAUGAACACUGGCGACAUGCUUAACACAUGUAAGUCGGAUGUAAAGUGGUAUUUCCAGUGGCGAAUGUGUGAGUAACACAUAAGAACCUGCCCUUAGGUGGGGAACAACAACUGGAAAUGGCUGCUAAUACCCCAUAGACUGAGGAGCAAAAGAAGGAAUCCGCUCGAGGAGGGGCUCGCGUCUGAUUAGCUAGUUGGUGAGGUAAUAACUUUCCAAGGCGAUGAUCAGUAACAGGUCCAAAAGGGUGAUCAGCCACACUGGGACUAAAACACGGCCUAGACUCUUAUGGGAGGCAGUAGUGGGGAAUUUUUCACAAUGGGCGAAAGCUUGACGAAGCAAUGCCACGUGGAGGUAAAAGGCCCACAGGUAGUGAACUUUUCCCAGAGAAGAAGUAAUGACGGUAUCUAAGGAAUAAGCAUCGGCUAACUCUGUACCAGCAGCCGCUGUAAUACAAAGAAUGCAAGCGUUAUUCGAAAUGAUUGGGCGUAAAGCAUUUAUAGGUGGCUUUUUUAGUCUGCUAUCAAAUCCCAAGGCUCAACCCUGGACAAGUGGUAGAAACUACCAAGUUGGAGUACGGUCGGGGCAGAAGGAAUUUCUAGUAGAGUGGUGAAAUACAUAGAGAUCGGAAAGAACACCAACGAUGAAAGCACUUUAUUGGGUUGACACUGACACUGAAAGAUGAAAUCUAGAGGAGCGAAUGAGAUUAGAUACCUCAGUAGUCCUAGCUGUAAACAAUGGAUACUAGGCGUUAUGCAUAUCAACCUGUGUAGUACCGUAGCUAACGUGUUAAGUAUCCUGCCUAGGGAGUACGUUCGUAAGAAUCAAACUCAAAGGAAUUGAUAGGGGCCCACACAAGCAGUGGAGCAUGUUGUUUAAUUAGAUGCAAAAUGAAAAACUUUACCAGGGCUUGACAUGCCAAAAAUCCUCUUGAAAGAGAGGGGUUUCUUCGGGAACAUGAACAUAGAUGGUGCAUGGCUAUCGUCAGCUCAUGCCGUAAGGUGUUGGGUUAAGUCCCACAACAAGUACAACCCUCAUGUUUAAUUACCACCGUUGAGUUUAGAACCCUGAGUAGACUGUCGAUGAUAUGCCGGUGCUAAACCAGAGGAAGGUGAGGAUGACGUCAAGUCAUCAUGCCCUUUAUGCCAUGGGCGACAAAUGUGCUACAAUAGAUGAGACAAGGGGUCGCAAUCCCGUGAUGAUGAGCUAACUCUAAAAGCCCAUUCUCAGUUUGGAUUGUAGGCUACAACUUGCCUGCAUGAAGCCAGAAUCACUAGUAAUCGUUGGUCAGCCAUAUGGUGGUGAAUUUUGUUCCCGAGCCUUGUACACACCGCCCGUCACACUAUGGGAGCUGGCCAUGCCCAAAGUCAUUACCUUAACCGCAAGGAGAGGGAUGCCGAAGACAGGGUUAGUGACUAGAGUGAAGUUGUAACAAGGUAUUAGUACUGGAAGGUGCAGCUGGAUCAUUUUCUUU